rnacentral:rRNA from 1 species
GUGUCAGCAGCCGCGGUAAUACGAAGGGGGCUAGCGUUGUUCGGAAUUACUGGGCGUAAAGGGCGCGCAGGCGGCCGCUCAAGUCAGAUGUGAAAGCCCCGGGCUCAACCUGGGAACUGCAUUUGAUACUGAGUGGCUAGAGUUCGGGAGAGGAGAGUGGAAUUCCCAGUGUAGAGGUGAAAUUCGUAGAUAUUGGGAAGAACACCGGUGGCGAAGGCGGCUCUCUGGACCGAUACUGACGCUGAGGCGCGAAAGCGUGGGGAGCAAACAGGAUUAGAUACCCUGGUAGUCC